rnacentral:rRNA from 1 species
AUUGAACGCUGGCGGUAUGCUUUACACAUGCAAGUCGAACGGUAGAGGGGCAACCCUUGAGAGUGGCGAACGGGUGAGUAAUACAUCGGAACGUGCCCAGUCGUGGGGGAUAACGUAGCGAAAGCUACGCUAAUACCGCAUACGACCUGAGGGUGAAAGCGGGGGACCUGCAAGGGCCUCGCGCGAUUGGAGCGGCCGAUGGCAGAUUAGGUAGUUGGUGAGGUAAAGGCUCACCAAGCCGACGAUCUGUAGCUGGUCUGAGAGGACGACCAGCCACCCUGGGACUGAGACACGGCCCAGACUCCUACGGGAGGCAGCAGUGGGGAAUUUUGGACAAUGGGCGCAAGCCUGAUCCAGCCAUACCGCGUGCAGGAAGAAGGCCUUCGGGUUGUAAACUGCUUUUGUCAGGGAAGAAAUCUUCUGGGCUAAUACCCUGGGAGGAUGACGGUACCUGAAGAAUAAGCACCGGCUAACUACGUGCCAGCCGCCGCGGUAACAC